CUGAUGCUGCGAUGCGAUACCAAACCUUGAUGCGAAGAAGAAGAUGCUAUUCUAAUAUGUAAAGCCUUCAUCCUCUGAUGUGAUACCUCUGCUGCGAUACCAAACCAAAAUGCGAUUUCUUCUUUGAGCAAAUCCUUCAUCCUCUGCUGCGAUAAUCUGACAAGCCUCCUUCCUGCUGUGAAAACCAAACCCACUGACCCUGAUGCGAAGAAGAUGCUGCGAUAAUCUGACAAGUCUCCCUCCUUCUGCGAAAACCAAACCCACUGAAAAUUUGGAUUUCGAGCGAAUCCUCUGAACCAAACCCUCAUUUGUGUCCGACUGGCGAUUUUGAAUUCAGAUCUCAAAUAAAUCUCUUUCCCCUCUUCACUCCAAUCCAAUCCUCGAAUCCUCUUCAUUUUAGGUAACUUUUGAUCAAUUUAGAUUUUAUUUUGUAAAACGUAAUUUUUAUGUUUUAGUAAUUUCAUAAUUGUUGCUUGUGUGCUGUAUAAUCGACCUCAAUUUCAUAUACAUUUGAAUAAGUAUGAGAUUGUUGAUUAAUUUUUUGUUUUAUCGAAACCAAUUGUUAUAUGAAUGAUUAACUAUAGAGCUGUUAUGUAUUAAAGCAAAUUGUGUAUUUCUAUCUGGUAUCCGCUAGUUGAACCAAUUGUGUUUUUUUGAGAAGUACAGUACCCUUCUGAUUGGAAUUUUAGCUUUAAAAUCAAUUUUGUGUGUUGCAUAGACGUUAAGGAUAUCUAUUUCCUGGGUUAGGUUUGUUGGUAUUGUUUUACAUUGGCCUGACAUUGUCCUUGUUGUGUGCACAUAUAGGAGUGUUAACUUUUGUUUUAUAUAGUGAGAAGAAACAAAGUUUUUUUAUCCGUAAAGUAGAGUUAUCCAGUAGUUCUUGUGAAAGUGGUGUGUUUUGUUGUUAUUCAAUUGAUUACUAGAAGUUUACUUGUGCAAAAAAACUAAAUUCCCACUUUUUUACUUGUGACAAAUGUAUGUGCUCUUCAAUUUGUUGCAUCUCUUUGCUGUAAAUGCGUAACCUAUACUUGAGAUGCUUUCUCAUUGUUAUAGGGUAACACGUCAGUUAAUUUCAGUCCACAUGUUAGAUUGGUUGUUUGAUUCUUUCAAACCAAAGCAAAAAUUUUGAGACUCGUGUUUCUUACUGAUACUUAGUAUUUAGAACACGUGCUUGGAGAGUGAUAUCUUUGUUUAUUAUAUUUUUCAUUUUGCUCAUACCCAUUUUUUAUGGGAAUUUUUAUAGAUUAUUUAAUACUUAACAUUUUGAUGAAUGUUUAGGAAACAUAUGGAUAUUAAUCCCGGACUUACUAAUCCUAUUGUGUUAUGGGACCACGAAAAUCACGUAUCGUCAGACUUAUGGCAAAAUAUUGUAAGUUUAAUAAUGAAUAACAAUUUUCAUUUUCUUUAACAUUUGUUACAAACAUUCAUGUUGUGACGAUUUAUGUUUUUAUGUUGUUGGACAUGUAGGAUAGGGGUGUGUUAGAAAUUUGUCAAAUGUCUGCAAAAUUAACUGAAUGGAACUUGACUGAACAACAAGAAUAUCUGCUGGAACAAUAAAGUUUUGGUAUAUUUUGUCAUCAAGCUAUAGUGUCAAAGAUUGAUGCAUCUCUUGUAUCUGCUCUAGUUGAACGUUGGAGAAGUGAAACAAAUAUGUUUCACUUAAAUUGUGGAGAGAUUAGCAUUUCUUUAGACGAUGUGGGAUUUUUAUUUGGGUUGCCCGUAUUAGGAAAACCUUUGACUUGCGGAGAAUUAAAAAAUCCCAAAAGCUAUUUUAUAAGGAUUUUUGGGCAACAAGUUGUAGUAGAUGAGUGGAAACAAUGCUAUAAAAAGGGGGGGGGGGGCAUAAGUUUGCCCUAGUUAAGACAGAGAUAUGGACAAGUACCUGGUGAUGCUACUCCAGAUGAUGUUGUAAAACACACUAAGGCAUAUCUGUUGUACUUGUGUGGCGCUAUUUUGUUUCCAACCAAGAGUAAAAAUGUUGUGCAACCUAGAUAUUUGUUGUUAUUGGAAAAAUUGGAAGAUGUAGUUACAUAUGAUUGGGGGCGGCAGUUUUAGGGCAUUUGUAUAGGGGUUUGCAUGAUGCUACUCGCAAAAUAACGAAAAAAUUUGCAGGUUGUGCAACCCUUCUUAUGAUGUGGGCGCAUGAAAGGUUCAACAUUGGUCGUCCUACCUUUAAGCCUAUGUCCCAGAAGUUGAUACCUAGGGCAUUAUCCUGGGCAUAUAUACUCCUCUGUUGAUCCUAAUUCAAAACAUUAUCAGCACCUUAAAAAUCCACUUCACCAUCUUCUGUUUUACCGAGGAGAGUUUCAUAAUAUGUUGGAAAUAGAUGGGGUGUGGCGUCCAUAUCAGUUAUUUGAUAGACGUUUGUCAUGGGAUUUUUUUUGAGGCAAGGUUAGGUGGAGCCGCUCGUAUACCAUUGAUACAUUAAGACAUUGUUGAGUUCCAAAUGCCUGACAGAUUUAUGAGGCAAUUUGGAUAUUUGCAGUCGUAUCCAUCUAAUGCUGAAAAUAUGGUGGAAUUGCGGAAGGAACAUAAAUUAUUUGAGAGGAUAAAUUUUGAAAACCAUAGGCCAACUAUAUUCGAUUGUGGGAUGCAUACAUGGAGAGUUUAGAAGGACAAGUGUUGGAGGCUUUGCAACAUAUAUCUACCGAGGAUUAUAUGAUAUGGUACAAAAAAAUUACUCGAGACGAAUACACCAUCCUCGACCCUUUAGGCGUCAAGGGGACGAUUAUGAGUCACGGGUAUUCAUUGAUCAAUAUACGGCUGUAAACACUGUAAGUUAUUCAAUUUAUAAUAUUUAUUAAUGUUUUUGUGUUUUUAACUGAUUAUCUUGUUUUAUUAAUAUAAUUUUUUUAUUCAAUUGUAGAUUGAGAGUGCAAAAUCUAUAUUUGAAAAGUUGUUGUCAAUUAGACAUCCACCUGAGUUAAGAACCAUGUAUGACACAUGGUUCAAUACAUUAUACCAGUCGUUUAUGAAUGGCUAUAGAGGGGUUCCAAUCAAUCCAAAUCCAACGCAACCUCAAGUUGGGCAGAUGGAUAUUGACAUGACAGGAUCCCAACCUAUAGUUCAAGAGACUCAGCCUAGCGUUGGCCCAUCAACUCGACAUAGUAAGAAAGUGCCAUAUAGAAGGAUGGAGGGAACAAAGCACACUCACUUUUUUAAGUACUUAAAGAUG
rnacentral:lncRNA from 1 species